GCCCGGCUGGCUCAGUUGGUAGAGCAUUCAGCCUUUUGAUCUCUGGUCAUGAGUUCGAGCUCCAUGUUGGGCA
rnacentral:tRNA from 1 species